rnacentral:rRNA from 1 species
AGGUCGGGAUUUUCGAUAGGUGACCUGCGGAGGGAUCAUUACACAAAUAUGAAGGCGGGCUGGAACCUCUCGGGGUUACAGCCUUGCUGAAUUAUUCACCCUUGUCUUUUGCGUACUUCUUGUUUCCUUGGUGGGUUCGCCCACCACUAGGACAAACAUAAACCUUUUGUAAUUGCAAUCAGCGUCAGUAACAAAUUAAUAAUUACAACUUUCAACAACGGAUCUCUUGGUUCUGGCAUCGAUGAAGAACGCAGCGAAAUGCGAUAAGUAGUGUGAAUUGCAGAAUUCAGUGAAUCAUCGAAUCUUUGAACGCACAUUGCGCCCUUUGGUAUUCCAAAGGGCAUGCCUGUUCGAGCGUCAUUUGUACCCUCAAGCUUUGCUUGGUGUUGGGCGUCUUGUCUCUAGCUUUGCUGGAGACUCGCCUUAAAGUAAUUGGCAGCCGGCCUACUGGUUUCGGAGCGCAGCACAAGUCGCACUCUCUAUCAGCAAAGGUCUAGCAUCCAUUAAGCCUUUUUUUUCAACUUUUGACCUCGGAUCAGGUAGGGAUACCCGCUGAACUUAAGCAUAUCAAUAAGCGGAGGA